CUCAUGUGAGAAGAAAGUCCACACCCAUUUCCCCUCUCUCUCUCUCUCUCUCUCAUAUGCAGAUCUUGAGCUAAGCCACAAGCAUAAACAUCAGAUUUACAUCAUUAAUCUGGCAUUCAGAAUGGACUUCCACUUCCCAUCACUCACUGGAUCCAUUGCUAAACUCUGCUCCUUCACCAUUUUGCUUCUUUUCUUGCUUUCUUGCUCCACUUUCACUCCUACAGAAGCCUAUGAUGCUCUUGAUCCAAAUGGGAAUAUCACUAUCAAAUGGGACGUAAUAAGCUGGACUCCAGAUGGCUAUGUUGCAGUUGUUACCAUGUACAACUUCCAGCAAUAUCGCCACAUUCAAGCUCCAGGUUGGACAUUGGGUUGGACAUGGGCAAAAAAGGAGGUAAUAUGGACCAUGAUGGGAGGCCAAACCACAGAGCAAGGGGAUUGUUCCAAGUACAAAGGAAACGUCCCCCAUUGCUGUAAGAAGGAUCCUACUGUUGUGGAUUUAUUGCCAGGAACUCCUUACAA
rnacentral:misc_RNA from 1 species